CCUGAGAAACCCGAAAGUUCGAAUGGGGAGAUUCAAUGUCAGCGAUUUUGGUACGUGUGCGGUUCGCGAUGCCGGAGACUUCGGUCUCAUGGUACGCGUCCGCAUGUUUUUUAUUGCCAGGAUCGUCGGCGUGCACUUCUCCCCUAGUAGGACGUCGCGACCCGUUGGGUGUCGGUCUACGACCCGGGCGGUAGCCUGUCUCGUGUGCGCUUCAUCGCGUUACGCGGGGCAGACCCCUGUGUGUCUGGCCGGCUGCUCGGCGGUACUCGCACGAUAUCUGGCCGCAAAUAUUCGAACUGCGUCCGGCCCGUCGCAAGCGAGGCAAGUGUUCCCGGCUGUACGGAUCUAAUGCCGUCACCGGGCCUUGCCAGCUGUUGGUUGACGGUGCCCUAGGACAGGCCAAUAAAAUUAUGAUAUCGGUCGGCGACGCUACUGCUUUGGGUACUUUCAGGA
rnacentral:rRNA from 1 species